rnacentral:pre_miRNA from 1 species
UCUCCAUUUUCUUUAUCUGCUAGGUUGUACAAGGUGUUUUGGUUCAACUCCCAAAACACCUUGUACAACCGAGCAGAUAAAGAAAAUGGAGAAAGUUUG